UACGGAGGGGACUAGCGUUGUUCGGAAUUACUGGGCGUAAAGCGCACGUAGGCGGAUUUGUAAGUCAGGGGUGAAAUCCCGGGGCUCAACCUCGGAACUGCCUUUGAUACUGCAAAUCUCGAGUCCGGAAGAGGUGAGUGGAAUUCCUAGUGUAGAGGUGAAAUUCGUAGAUAUUAGGAAGAACACCAGUGGCGAAGGCGGCUCACUGGUCCGGUAAUGACGCUGAGGCACGAAAGCGUGGGUAGCAAACAGG
rnacentral:rRNA from 1 species